ACCCCAAUCUAUUAAGCCGGCAUUUAUUGCGACUCUUAUGCAUUAAAAUGCGACUAAGAUUGGGUACAGUAAAAUCUGUGAUGUGUGUAUGAACGUUUCGCUUUGCUCAGGUAUUCGUUCAAAGUAUUACACCAGGACA